ACUUUUAAGCGCAGGAAUGGAGGGAGGAACAAGCACGGACGUGGACACGUCAACUUCAUUCGAUGCUCUUACUGCGGAAAAUGCUGACCCAAGUCGAACGGAGAGAAGUGCUAGAUGUUUGAGGAUGAGGAAGGUGCAAAAUAUGGAUCACAUUCAGUUACAGAACUUCUUUAUUGCCAUCAGAGCAUCUACCUUCAGGAUUCUCUAAUGGAGGAGGACAUGCGUCUGGAGAAUGUAUACUAUUAUAAGAUGAAGGAUGCCGGUUUCUUUGAUUCUGAUUGGGAAUAAUAUUGUUUUGUCUCUACUUCUCUUAACAUCUGUAAAUUUACCUUUCUCAUGGCUUUCGCGAACUCUUUCAUUGUAUAAAUCAUUGACGUGUGAAAAUUAGUUAUUGUCUAUGUAAAUAAUUUAUGUUUCGCUCUA